GUGCUGUGCUGCAAAGUCAGCUGUUCUCACUGCCUGAUUGUCAGAUGAGCACUGCUGUGACAAAGCCACUUGGAAAAAACAGCUUGGAUCCUUCUUUGAGCUCACUGAUGUCCCCCUGUGUCUGCAAUGCCAACACCCUCGUGUCUCCAGAGACUGAGGCCCCCUUUGCCAGAGAUCUGCUGUCCAAACCAGCAUGCUGUGUUAUGCCAACCCAGUGCCUUGUCAGUGUGGCAGACAGCUGUAGUUAGAAUACAAGGCUUUUGUGUUCCACCCACCCCCUCAUCUCUCAGGUUUUAUUCCACUUCUUUGAGCAGUGGACACAUUCUUGCCAGUCUCAGUGUUUUAAUUUAAUUUGGGCACAGACUAUAUAAAAUUGAACAGAUGUCUGAAAGCAGUGGAGAGAAGACCAUAAAAUGAAACACGUGCUCAGCUCCAUUUGAAACAAGCAAUGCUGUAUUUUUUUUGUCCCCAUUGCCACAAAAGUCACACAUGACUUGGAGGUGUGUGACAAGAGGGUCCAACAUGGGAAGAGGAGGAAACUAGAAGGUGGCAGCCUUGGGGUGAUAACUGAAGUGAAACACAAGACUAUCAAGAAAUAAGCCAUUAAAAAACUUCAGGAAAAGAAUGCAAUAUGUGCUGCCAUUUUCUUUUACUUCUCUUUCUGCACCAGCUGUGGUA